rnacentral:rRNA from 1 species
GACGAACGCUGGCGGCGUGCUUAACACAUGCAAGUCGAACGGAAAGGCCCUGCUUGCAGGGUACUCGAGUGGCGAACGGGUGAGUAACACGUGGGUGAUCUGCCCUGCACUUCGGGAUAAGCCUGGGGAACUGGGUCUAAUAUCGGAGAGAAGCCAUUCUUAGGGUGAUGGUUGGAAAGUUUUUUCGGUGUAGGAUGAGCUCGCGGCCUAUCAGCUUGUUGGUGGGGUAAUGGCCUACCAAGGCGGCGACGGGUAGCCGGCCUGAGAGGGUGGACGGCCACAUUGGGACUGAGAUACGGCCCAGACUCCUACGGGAGGCAGCAGUGGGGAAUAUUGCACAAUGGGCGCAAGCCUGAUGCAGCGACGCCGCGUGGGGGAGGACGGCCUUCGGGUUGGAAACUCCUUUCGCUAGGGACGAAGCUUUUUGUGACGGUACCUAGAGAAGAAGCACCGGCUAACUACGUG